AGUUGGGGGCCCUGUGAUCCAUC
rnacentral:misc_RNA from 1 species